rnacentral:rRNA from 1 species
AUUGAACGCUGGCGGCAGGCCUAACACAUGCAAGUCGAGCGGAUGAAGGGAGCUUGCUCCUGGAUUCAGCGGCGGACGGGUGUGUAAUGCCUAUGAAUCUGCCUGGUAGUGGGUGAUAACGUCCUGAAACGGGCGCUAAUACCGCAUACGUCCUGAUGGUGAAAGUUGGGGAUCUUCGGACCUCACGCUUUCAUAUGUGCCUAGGUCGGAUUAGCUAGUUGGUGUGGUAAAGGCCUACCAAGGCGACGAUCCGUAACUGGUCUGAGAGGAUGAUCAGUCACACUGGAACUGAGACACGGACAAGACUCCUACGGGAGGCAGCAGUGGGGAAUAUUGGACAAUGGGCGAAAGCAUGAUCCAGCAAUGCCGCGUGUGUGAAGAAGGUCUUCGGAUUGUAAAGAACUUUAAGGUGGGAGGAAGGGCAGUAAGUUAAUAACUUGCUGUAUUGACGUUACCAAAAGAAUAAGCACCGGCUAACUUCGUG